GUUUGGGCAUUCAUAUGGUUAAUCAUCAUAU
rnacentral:piRNA from 1 species